GGUACAAUUAUAUAAUACCUGGCCAUAUAAAGAUGUGUGAUUCAUUGGCUACGUGGCUACGUGGCUACAUCUUGAAAUCAAAAGCACCAUUUGGAAGAAAACGCAGUUUGACAUCCAGCAAAAAUAGGUUUUCGAAAUGUAAGGUUAGGUUUUAGGAUUUUGUUUAGGGGUAGGGUCAGCUUUAGGGUUAAGGUUUAGCGUUGGGGUUAGGGUUAAGGUUAGGGUUAGGGGUUAGGUUAAGGUUAGGGUUAGGGUUAGGGUUAAGGUUAGGAUUAUGAUUAAGGUUAGGGUUAGGAUUAAGGUUAGGGGUUAAUAGGGGUUAGGGAUUAGGGGUUAGGGUUAGGGUUGGGGUUAGGGGUUAGGGGUUAGGGUUAUGGUUAGGGUUAGAGAAAGCGUUUUGUUAGGAGUAAUGUCAGGAUGGGGUUUAGGAUUUGGGUUAGUGUUAGGAUUUGGGUUAGUGUUAGGGUUAGGGGUUAGGGGUUAGGGUUAGGGUUGGGGUUGGUGUUAGGGGUUAUGGUUAGGGUUAGAGAAAGCGUUUUGUUAGGAUUAGAUUAGUGUUAGGGUUAGGGGUUAGGGGUUAGGGUUGGGGUUAGGGGUUAUGGUUAGGGUUAGAGAAAGCGUUUUGUUAGGAUUAGGUUAGGGUUAGGGUUAGGGGUUAGGGGUUAGGGUUAGGGGUUAGGGGUUAGAUGUUGGGGUUGGGGUUAGGGUUAGAGAAAGCGUUUUGUUAGGAGUAAUGUCAGGUUGGGGUUUAGGAUUUGGGUUAGUGUUAGGGUUGAAGUUAUGGCUAGGUUUUGGGUUGAGGUCAGGGUUAUUACAAUUGGAUUUUUCGUGUAUGAAAAUA